rnacentral:sRNA from 1 species
UCCCCUCUAGCCACUACUUCCUUCAUUGGACGGCAAGGUAUUUCUGUUUGGAAAAGUAAUGGAGUCCAGUCAACUUCAUUGAUCUCCAAGGACUGUCAAAAUUAUAAAACUUGCUGUGGAGCUCUGACAUGCCAGAAGCCGCUAGAAAAAGAAGUUUGACAUUCAGAAACUUAUCAAGAGGUUCUACUCUUUGGAUAGAGACCAAAAUCAUACUUUGAAAAAAUGAGAAGAGAUGGAGGCCAAGGAAGGGUGUGUGGAAUCAAGUAGCAGUUCUCAAAACAGCAUAUGUCAAGACCUCAGCACAUAUCAAGACAGUGGCACAAAAGCAUCGUAGUGUUGUCAUUCACCACUAUGCAGGAGGGAAAGCCAAUUUCAUUUCAGAAUGUCCUCAAUUAAUCUGUAGAAAUUAUUAAUUUUAUUAAAUCCCAACCCUUGA